rnacentral:lncRNA from 10 species
UACGAAUGGGCUACCAUAAGCCCCGCCCCUUCCGGGAGGUCUCCGGAAGUUGGGACCCUUUUAGCUAUGAAAUAUUUUGGAUUGCGUAGGGUCUUGCGCAGCCGCGAAAAGUAGCGUGGGCCAGGACAGCGGGAGCGUUAUUACUGGAGAACAGCAGAGUCCACCCAUCUUGUUUACUCUUACAUGCUCAGCAGAGAGGCAAUGCCAGAAUUACUAACAGUGCUAAAGUUACUAAGAUAAGUAAGGUGCUGGAUAUAAGAGGAAUAUAUGAAAAUUAUUUUUUUCUGCACUAACAACUACUAGUUAGAUACAGAAAUGAAAAAGUAGGCCAGGUGCAGUGGCUCAUGCCUGUAAUCUCAGUACUUUGGGAGGCCGAGGCGGGCAGAUCACGAGGUCAGGAGAUCAAGACCAUCCUGGCUAACACGGUGAAACCCCAUCUCUACUAAAAAUACAAAAAAUUAGCCGGGCGUGGUGGCGAGCGCCUGUAGUCCCAGCUACUCAGGAGGCUGAGGCAGGAGAAUGGCGGGAAUCCGGCAGGCAGAGCUUGCAGUGAGCCGAGAUUGCGCCACUGCACUCCAGCCUGGGCAACAGAGCGAGACUCUGUCUCAAAAAACCAAAAAAAAAAAGAAAAGUAAUCCCUAAAAUGAAAAGAUACCUAGGUACAAAAUUUAAAUGGUAACAUAAAAAUAAAAGAUAAUUUGAAGUAAAUUAAAUCUGAAUAAAUGGUGGAUAACCUAUUUUCUGGUUGGAAGACUUAAUAUUAUAAAAACAAUAUCACAAAGGAGUAUCGCAAAUGAGUUUAUAAAUGUCAUGUUAUUCCCAUCAGAACCUCAGUGGGUCAUUGUUUUUGUUUUUUGGAACUGGAAAAUAAUGUGGCAAAAAUCUUAGAAGUUCAAUAACACAUUGUGUUGAUGAGACCGAAGAAAAAUGAAUCCUACACAUAUUGCUGGUAGGACUAAAAAUUGAUUGAACCCCUAGGGAAGACAAUUUGGCAAUAU